rnacentral:rRNA from 1 species
AUGCUCCCUCCCGCAUUCGUUUAUUUCCUUCCAAUUAUACCAGGAUUUUUUUCCAGCUUCUGUUCCUCAAAAAAUUUCUCACGAUCAAGGCCCCUGCCCUUCCUUAUCUACCCACAAAUCUCGUGCCCCUCUCCCAGGUCAGGUUCCGGAGCCGGGUCGUCGCCGCGGAGUACGUCGAUGCGGAGCCGGAGGGCGCGGAGGACCGGUGGGAGAGGUGGAACGGCAACGGCGAGGCCUUCGGCGACGGCUCGGGUGUGUGGCGCCUCACUGUGGGCCACUGGGGCGCCGGCGAGCAGGAGCCAGAGACGGAGGAGGUGCAUGAGUCCGACUUCCUGA